UACGAAGGGUGCAAGCGUUACUCGGAAUUACUGGGCGUAAAGCGUGCGUAGGUGGUUUGUUAAGUCUGAUGUGAAAGCCCUGGGCUCAACCUGGGAAUUGCAUUGGAUACUGGCAGGCUAGAGUGCGGUAGAGGAUGGCGGAAUUCCCGGUGUAGCAGUGAAAUGCGCAGAUAUCGGGAAGAACACCCGUGGCGGAAGGCGGCGCUCUGGGACGGUACUGACGCUGAGACGCGAAAGCGUGGGGAGCGAACAGG
rnacentral:rRNA from 1 species